UGGGGAAUUUUGGACAAUGGGCGAAAGCCUGAUCCAGCCAUGCCGCGUGCAGGAUGAAGGCCUUCGGGUUGUAAACUGCUUUUGUACGGAACGAAACGGCCUUUUCUAAUAAAGAGGGCUAAUGACGGUACCGUAAGAAUAAGCACCGGCUAACUACGUGCCAGCAGCCGCGGUAAUACGUAGGGUGCAAGCGUUAAUCGGAAUUACUGGGCGUAAAGCGUGCGCAGGCGGUAAUGUAAGACAGUUGUGAAAUCCCCGGGCUCAACCUGGGAACUGCAUCUGUGACUGCAUUGCUGGAGUACGGCAGAGGGGGAUGGAAUUCCGCGUGUAGCAGUGAAAUGCGUAGAUAUGCGGAGGAACACCGAUGGCGAAGGCAAUCCCCUGGGCCUGUACUGACGCUCAUGCACGAAAGCGUGGGGAGCAAACA
rnacentral:rRNA from 1 species